rnacentral:misc_RNA from 1 species
ACCUCAUAUUAUUGAUGAGACUGUUGCUAUGCUGCUGCUGGAAAACAGCUCUUAGAUCCUUCUACCAAGGGGAGAAGUCUACACUAUUUCUACCAUAACAUAAAGCAUUCCACCCACCAUAUAUAUUUGGACAUCAAGAGUCUAGCCCAAAGCUCGUUCUGGUUAUUUGCCAAGUCCCAUCCCCAUUUACCAAUCAAGGCCUCAUUAAACUUGGACAUAUUUUUAACCCCAAGCCCCCCUUUGUUCUUGGGAAGACAAACAGUAUCCCAAUUGACCCACUGUAUCUUGGCUGCCUCAGAACCUCCUCCCCACAAAAAAUUCCUCUGAAUAGAAACUACCUUAUGCACCAGAUUUUUAGGGAUAAAUAGG